AUAGCAACAGUAACUAAGGAAGGGGAAACUCUAGCCUUUAAUUAGUUGAGUUGGAAGUACGCCCUUUCUUCUUUUUAAAUCCACCUUUGUUGGUUUCAUCAGCUUCAAAUUUACCAAUCCGCCUCAAUUGUUCAUUGUUAUGCAGAUGAGGCCCAGUUAACUUGUCUCCCGCUAAUCCAGAUGGGAUCAAAGCCGCAGCGGAAGCCUCGCUGACAGAAGAUGGUCCUAAAUGAACAAAGAGGCUCCGUCUCUGAGAGAACAACGUGUUUUUGGUUCUGCAUGAUGAGGAGGAUGAAUUUAACCAGCAGAUAGACAGUUGGAUCAAGGCAGGACCUGGAUGUGCUUAAACCUGACGUACUGCAGGUGUGUUGACCUGUGCUAAGAAGUUGAAUGCUUUCUGGAAAUAAACAUAUUUUGAUCAGAGAAGACAAUUGAUCAGAGGAGUCAAGGGUAUAAUGGGAGGACGGAAGGAGGCGUUCACACAAAUCAACCUAAAAUGUGACCAACAUCUGAAGGUAUGACCCACCUGCGACUUCC